UACAGAGGUCUCAAGCGUUGUUCGGAUUCAUUGGGCGUAAAGGGUGCGUAGGCGGCGCGGUAAGUCGGGUGUGAAAUCUUGGAGCUUAACUCCGAAACUGCAUUCGAUACUGCCGUGCUUGAGGACUGGAGAGGAGACUGGAAUUUACGGUGUAGCGGUGAAAUGCGUAGAUAUCGUAAGGAAGACCAGUGGCGAAGGCGGGUCUCUGGACAGUUCCUGACACUGAGACACGGAAGGCCCAGGGGGAGCAAACGGG
rnacentral:rRNA from 1 species